rnacentral:sRNA from 1 species
AAAUGGCUAUGUUAUAGAUAGAUACGGAAAAUAUAUGCUAAGUUGUAUAGUGAAAAAAAAAUGAAAUUUUUUGUCAAACAUUGUUAUUAUGAAUUAAUCGCCCAUUGCUUAUUAGACCCUUUCUUUAUGCAGUUUAUAGAGUGCCUCAGAACAUUAUUAACUUAAUGGUAAAUUUUCAAAAAAUUUGAUUUUUUUUUGUAACUGCCUGGCUAUUUCUAAGUUUUAGAAUUUCUUAAUUAAUUUAUAUUUCUUAUGAAUGUGUAAAUAUUUUCAUUAGCUUAUUAUAUAUGUUUAUAAUUUAUUUUUUUAUGGUCUUGCAUUGUUUUGUUUUUUUUAUCAAUAAAUUCAUGACAAUUU